GCUCAUUUAACUCUUAACCUCUAUAGGCUACACGUUUUAACUACGUAGCCUAACACAAUAUGUUUCAAUUAAAAAAUUCAUUAUUAAUAUGGUGAAUAGUGAAAUUAAACAAGAAAAAUCAAAAUCACAACGAUAGGACAUGAUCAACCAACACAUUAGUAAUUCUUAUAUAGUUUUUCUACACCUGGAUGAAAUGUCCUAAAUCCAUCAACCACGUGUUUCAAAGAUAGUGAAAUUCAAGGUAGAUGCAUUCAUGGGUGCUACGUUCUUCGCUAAUAAUCAAUUAUUUACUUCGGCUAAAAUACGUGGUGUAAGAGCAGAUACGUAAGUACUAUUAAUUAGACUUUCUUGUAGUAACGUCAUUAUCACAUUUGUUUGCUUGUACCUUAUAUAAAUGUAGUCAUAAAGAUGACGAGGUGUUUCAAGUGUUUCCUUUCUUUCUGGCAAUCGAAUUUGAUUGGAACAGCAGUUUUUUUCAGGUUUUUUUGCAUUGUGUUAGUCUCAACAUCAUAUAAUUUUCCAAAGCUGUUUCAAGCUACAGUAAAAAAUAAUAUUUUUUAAAUACCAAUAGAUAAACCUUACAUUGGAAUGGUCUUCACAAACAUAUACUGGACUGCCAGGUUUGUCGCUCGCAUAAUCCCUUCUUAUAGCUUGAAAACAUUGUUUUCGUUGCUUUACUUCUCGAGGGAUUUGCACGAAAACUUUAUUUGGCGUUUUUAUACUAGUGUUUGUACAUUAUGGUAUAAUGUACCAACGAUACGUCAUCUUGUAUUCUACAAAAUUGAAUACUCACAGCAGUGCGAGUGUUUUUUUAGAAGAAUCCCAACAACUCUGUUUAAACUGUAUUUACUUCUAACCUCACUUCAGUCUGUUUACUUACUUUCUACGUCACACUAAGUCGUGUGUCAACAAAUGCGUUUUUGCGCGUCGUUUAGGUAUUUAAAUUCAUUUAUUUUCUUAUGUUUAUACAGUUUAAAAAAUUGAAAAAUAGUGUGCGAUCAAGAACGAUAUAAUUAACGUAGUUAAGGCAUAGAAAAAGUAUGCUAUUAAAGCUCUCCAUUUGUACUGAACGAUCGACGAACUAAAGUACCAACCCGAAAAAUAUUGAAGAGGUAAAUGUAAAAGCUAACUGCAAGGUUAGCGAUGACUUAAUGCCGAUUAAAAGUUAACUCGUAUUGAAAAAUAGGUAACGAAUGUUUGGAUAUCAACAAACGUAAUCCAAGUGAAUUUUAAAAAAAUUUGUAGCUUUCUGGAGCUAGUAGAGUUAAAAAGAGAAUUGAAACAAUAAGAGGUAUAGAUCUUUCGGAACAGUAAACUUUAUACUGAUGUAACCAUCAGAGAAAAAAGAAUAUAUGAAGGAUUAAAAAAAAAUUACGUUCUUGCCAAUUAUAUGUUUGUUAAAUAUUGUUUUCUCAAUAUUUCUGCUGGAAAAUGUAUACAUAUUAAUACCGAAUAAAAAAAAUAAUCUGCUACCGGAAUGCAUUAUGUUCAUAACUUCCCUAGCUGAAUAAAAAGUCAUUAUGAUCAUUCAUAUGCCUGUUCACGCUUUCGUCGUUCAGCACUUUUUCACCUGACCUAACAAAUAUGAUAAGAGGCUUGUCAUCAUCAGUAAUUGAUACCGUUAUAAUUCUGAAAAAUAUGGAUCGUUAGUAGUUUUUUUUAUAUAAUUUGUUGUAAAAGUUGAUCGAUUUUUCGUGAAGUUACAUAACGACUAUAAUAAUAUUUCAAAGUAUGCCGCACCAGAUGAGAUAUUAAAACUUCAGACCAUUAUUAACAUUUUACUUGUACGAUUUAUCAUUAUAGGAAUUUCAUCCGUUUUUAUUAUCUGAUUUUGAGGCUGAUAAUGAUAUAAUUAUUUUUACCGAGAAAAACUGUAAUUCUCUUGAGAAGAUAUUUGGAAAAUGUUUUCAUCUAAAUUAUGACCUUUUAGUGCAUAUAUGCAUCAAAGUUUUCGAUAAUUUUUGGACCAAAUGUGUUUUAUUACAUAAUUGUAGAAAUAUAACGAUUAGAAUUGACAUGUUGAAUAAAGUGAUUUUAUUAGAAUAUUUGCUGAAAUCAUUAAAAACUUAAUUCAAGUUAAUUAAAAAAUUUAAUAAAUAGAAAAAUGAUAGAAAAUUAAAAGAAUAAGAAUUAAAUGUACAAUUGAUGUUUUUAAGAAUAUUUGGCCUUGAGUUCGUGAACAUGAAGCUGCAUUUCAUGCGGUCAAGGACCACAAGCCUAUUGGAAAUGGAACUUUUUGGAGCUGGGUUAUUAUUAAUUUUUUUCGAUCAAAUUCGGCAUAAUUGCGGCAAUGCUUAUUAAGUCUGGCAACGCUGUCGAAUAAGAUUGAAAAGAAGCAAGUUCAUGCCUCAGACAGUUGUGUCUGUGUCAUGUUAACACGUGCUCGUCGAGUAGACACUUCAAGAAAAAGUUUUCCUUUGUUACGCCGUAUCUGCGUACGAACGUGGAUUACGGAACUAUGUUUACCAAAUUUCAACUACAAUUUCCAAAUUCGCCACUACGAAAUCGUUCAACAGUGUGGAAUACAUACCAGUAAUUCUGAAAAACGGGAUCAGCCGAAUCAAUCUGCAGUGCGGAAGAUCGGAAGAACAAAUAUUCCGCGUCCUCCAAGGAUGAUUUGGAUCGCAGAUUGAAAUUUAGCGAGAGGUAUAUCAGAUGCAGUCAGGUUCCAGCAUUCCGUUCUAUGGUCGGAUGAACCAACCUUCAAGCUAAAUGGAAAAUCAAUGUGGUUGAAAGAAGAGGGAAAUUGGGUACCUCGGAAAUAUCAUUGAGGAAUCUGCCAAUACCAAUAAUGAAAUUUUUCGUAAAAAAGUCAAGGUUUGAUACUUUUGCUUUGUUGCCAAAUCACUCAAAGCUGCGGAUAGAAUUUUAUACCAAACAUUUGAGCGACGCUAAAUUGAAGAUUCCUACUGUUUUAUAUCCUUAGGAUUUUAGCGAGGAAGUCCAUAGUUGAAGAUACAAUGCUCAAAUUGUUUAGUCGGUCAAUUUAUCACAGCAGGAUUGGUAUAUAAUAUGAUGCAGAUAAGAAUAGCCCGGAAUCAACGGUCUAGGCUAGAUUGAGUAAAUAGAGAACCUGCCAUUGCCAAUUGUCAUAAAAUACCACUGUCAGUUGUUUGUAUAUACUUUAUAAAAGUACAUCAAAUAAAAUUAAGUUAAAUUAU